AUUCAUAUAGCUUAUUUAGAGUUUAAUAUUGAAGAUAUUUAGGAAAAUUAUAUUUUGUGGGUA
rnacentral:tRNA from 1 species